UACGGAGGGUGCAAGCGUUAUCCGGAUUUACUGGGUUUAAAGGGUGCGUAGGCGGGCAAGUAAGUCUGUGGUGAAAUCCCCGAGCUUAACUCGGGAAUUGCCAUGGAUACUAUUUGUCUUGAAUACCGUUGAGGUGAGCGGAACAUGGCAUGUAGCGGUGAAAUGCUUAGAUAUGCCAUAGAACACCGAUUGCGAAGGCAGCUCACUAAACGGCGAUUGACGCUGAGGCACGAAAGCGUGGGUAGCGAACAGG
rnacentral:rRNA from 1 species